GACGUAAGAGACAUGAAUUGCAGUUCCAUUUCGUGCGCCCCACAGUUUUCACCCUUGGCUGCUGCUGAUCCUGUUUUGAGGCAGGUGCUGGACAGAAUGGUCUUUUGGUCUAGUGACUGAAACCAAAGCAACCAGUGUCUUAAUAAUUCAUCAGUUUCCUAAACUGAUUGUAAACCCCACACACCUUUACAUUCUACUAGUGGAACAGUAAGAAGUGCUGGCUCGUUUCCAUGGGAACCAAGGAGCUGCACUUCUGAACUGUGUGGCUUUUUCACAGCAUUGAGAAAUACAGAUCAGGAGGAGAGUUCCUCCUCAAGACCCAUGUAAGUGGGAAGCAAAUCUGACCUAGCAAGAGACCUUGAAGUCCCCAAGUGUUCAGCACUCCC